rnacentral:lncRNA from 1 species
CACUCGCUACAAUUAUCUGCAGCGAUCGCAUGAUGGAGCCACGACCUCCAUGUCUGUGCGUUUGUAUGAAUUCAAUAGGCCAAUGAGGUGUGAUCACGCCACCUGAGGGCCACCAAUGAGGUGUGAUCACGCCACUUGUGUGAUAGCCAGUGGCAUGACGGAACAUGCCCUUGAAAUGCUAUGCAAGUCGAAUAAACGCCACGUUGGCCAGGCUCUCUCACCCGGUACAAGCGUCUCCGCGAACUUCAUUGCGUCGUCCUCUCGGACGCGAGGCCCCUCCGUCGACCGGCUUUGGGUGCGACGGUACAGAAUGGCGACGAGGAUUUAGAAGAACCUGCUGUCCUAAAUGCCGAUCAGCCCUCCCCGAUGCUACUGCGGUAGCGGUCGAAAAAGCGCCGAAAGAAGAUAUGGAACGACUAAUAUCGAGCCUGUCGGAGGGUCCAGCUCAAGUGUCUACAUCCCUAAGGAUUCAGCUUUUCAGUACUGUGUACAGCUAGAAGAUGCCUUUGGGCUAUGAAUAUAAGAUAACACUCCAAGAAGAAAUCAGACGUGAUGAUGAACAUAUCAACCAAACCAAUGACAAGGAGGCCACCCAAGGGGUUCUCCAAGAUGACGCAUCCAGGUGAUAUUUUUGCAGCAGACUGCUUGAGAUCGAUUGUGCCAACCCAGCAAAUUGUGGCACAGAUGAACGAAGACUACAAAAAAGCAGUAAGUGAUUGCUUUCUGUUAAUUCAAAUACACUUCCUUGGUUUUUGUCACAAGCUGUUAAUGUAUAUAUCAACUCUACCAAUUUUACGUAAAGUUUACGAAUUCGGAGGCACCUAAGCGGGCCCUGAUCCACUUACAUUUUUACAGAAGUGGAGAAAAGCAUUGGAAGUUAAAAUAGGCUAUUUAAUAAACACUUUGUCAUGAAAAGUACUUCGAUGCGUUUCACCAGAAGAGGAUUUAUUGGCAAUCAAGCGCGGCGUUCGCGGUGCUUCCGCUCCUCCUUCAAUGCCUUUCACUGCCAAGGUUACGACAGAGCGAGGCGUGCUCACAAGGCACCGCUGUCUGUAUGUCACCAUGGCGCGCAGUUCACGUUUGAAUUGGGAUGUUAAUGUAGACGCCACUGCCCCCGAUUUUGGUGCCUGCGACGCGCCAAACGUAAGCCAAACGCGGUUGUCAUGAGCGAGCAGCACAGCGCUGAGCCAGUGGACUCGUCGGGGUACCCUGCCGUAUCUGCGCUACGUAGCAGACCGCAGCUACAUGCAGAUGUAGUGCAUAUUGCGCAGCGUUUGCUUUGUGCCCGACAGGGCCGUGUGCGUCCUCGCGCUCAUGCGAUCCAGUCUGACCAUGCUGCGUGGUGCGGACCGGCUUUGUCCUCCGCCUGCGUGACUGGCGAAUAGUAGCCACAUGCAACAAGUACAUUGUAACACGAAAUUGUUUUACGCCGGGGUACUUCCUGUAACGGAUGCCACAUAUAUUACGCAUGCUCUACAAAGGUCGUCGCGCAUUUUCCAUUCUAAAGUAGUCCAGUCAUACUUUGCAAGCACUAAAAUCUUUCAGAAAUAAUUUUUUUCCACUUACGAGCGAAGAAUGGAAUCAUUUAGCAGAACGUAUUGUUGAAUG